GUCGCCUCCUUGUUCAAACUGCUGCUAGACAUCCAACAGUCAAAACCGUUUUCCAGGGAUUUUGAGUGAAUAUGUUUGCUUGAACUUAAAAGGAACUUUGGAAGUCACAUGCUUCUUCUCAUUAAAACAGCCCCAAUAGCUACUUUUACCUUCAUGGAAGGCAGACAAACAUGUGAAGGUAGAGAGAUGGCUUAGUGAUUAAGGAUAUGGGAUGUUUUGUCAAGUGAAGGCAGACACGAGAUAAGGCAAAGCCUGUGAUUGGACAGUGACAAAGCAAGGCAGGCACCGCAUUAUGAAGGGAGAGAGAGAGGAGAAAGGCAGAAGAACCAAGAUGGAACCAGAAAAGGGUGACCCAGAUUCGUGUGCCCUUAAAUGGCCUCAGGCUGAGCACACGUUGAACCACCACUGCUUCUUAAAAAUGCUCCUUUUUGGCAGAGAGCCCCUGGGCAGCACCCCACGAGCGAAUUUGAGCCUCAGGACCACAGGUAGCUUCUGAAUCUUCAAACUACACAAGGAGCAGUCAAGACCUGCAUAUAAAGCAGUCCUCACAUUUUCUGGAAAGGAGUAAAACCUUUUGUUUGCAUGCUUUUAUUAUAUACAUCUUCCUCUGGUGGUAUCUGGUUGUAGAACAAGUUAACCUCACUGUUCUUUUUUAACAAAAAAAAAAAAUCUAAGAUAUGGGACUAUGUUUCCUUCUUCCUAUUUUAAACCUAUAUUUGAGUUUUCAAAUUAGUUAUGGUUGUAAAAUUAUUUAUGAUUAUAGACAAAACCAAACGCUAUAAUUUUGUU